rnacentral:rRNA from 1 species
GACGAACGCUGGCGGCGUGCUUAACACAUGCAAGUCGAACGAAGCACUUCUACUGAUCCCCUCGGGGUGAUUUAGUUGUGACUGAGUGGCGGACGGGUGAGUAACGCGUGGGUAACCUGCCUCAUACAGGGGGAUAACAGUUAGAAAUGACUGCUAAUACCGCAUAAGCGCACAGUACUGCAUGGUACAGUGUGAAAAACUCCGGUGGUAUGAGAUGGACCCGCGUCUGAUUAGCUAGUUGGUGGGGUAACGGCCCACCAAGGCGACGAUCAGUAGCCGGCCUGAGAGGGCGACCGGCCACAUUGGGACUGAGACACGGCCCAGACUCCUACGGGAGCAGCAGUGGGGAAUAUUGGCACAAUGGGCGCAAGCCUGACCCAGCAACGCCGCGUGAAGGAAGAAGGCUUUCGGGUUGUAAACUCUUUUAAGAGGGACGAAUACUAGACGGUAACCUCUUGAAUAAGCCACGGCUAACUACGUG